UACAGAGGGGGCAAGCGUUGUUCGGAAUUACUGGGCGUAAAGGGCGCGUAGGCGGCCUCUUAAGUCGUACGUGAAAUCCCCGGGCUCAACCCGGGAACUGCGUCCGAUACUGGGAGGCUUGAAUCCGGGAGAGGGAUGUGGAAUUCCAGGUGUAGCGGUGAAAUGCGUAGAUAUCAGGAGGAACACCGGUGGCGAAGGCGGGUCUCUGGGCAGUAACUGACGCUGAGGAGCGAAAGCGUGGGGAGCGAACAGG
rnacentral:rRNA from 1 species